rnacentral:rRNA from 1 species
AGAGUUUGAUCCUGGCUCAGAUUGAACGCUGGCGGCAUGCCUAACACAUGCAAGUCGAACGAGGGUAGCAAUACUCUAGUGGCGGACGGGUGAGGAAUACAUAGGAAUUUGCCCUUAAGUGGGGGAUAACCCGGGGAAACCCGGAUUAAUACCGCAUGAUCUCGAGAGAGCAAAGCAGGGGACCGCAAGGCCUUGCGCUUUUGGAGAAGCCUAUGUCGGAUUAGCUUGUUGGUGAGGUAAUGGCUCACCAAGGCCGCGAUCCGUAACUGGUCUGAGAGGAUGAUCAGUCACACCGGAACUGAGACACGGUCCGGACUCCUACGGGAGGCAGCAGUGGGGAAUAUUGGACAAUGGGCGAAAGCCUGAUCCAGCAAUGCCGCGUGUGUGAAGAAGGCCUUCGGGUUGUAAAGCACUUUAGGCUGGAAAGAAAAAACUUUCUCUAAUACAGGAAGUCUUGACGGUACCAGCAGAAUAAGCACCGGCUAACUCUGUGCCAGCAGCCGCGGUAAUACAGAGGGUGCAAGCGUUAAUCGGAUUUACUGGGCGUAAAGCGUGCGUAGGUGGCUAUUUAAGUCGGAUGUGAAAGCCCUGGGCUUAACCUGGGAACUGCAUUCGAUACUGGGUGGCUAGAGAUCGGUAGAGGGCAGCGGAAUUCCGGGUGUAGCGGUGAAAUGCGUAGAUAUCCGGAGGAACACCGAUGGCGAAGGCAACUGCCUGGGCCUGAU